rnacentral:lncRNA from 1 species
GGUAAUUAAAUAUUAUAUGUAUGGUGCUGACUGAAUGUCAUUCGAAUUAUGAUAGUGGAAAAAAAAUAAUAGAAAUUUAAUCCUAGGCUUGAAACUUGAAAAAAAAAAUUAUGAUAGAGGAAAUUUUAAUUGACAUCAAGAAUUACAAACUUGAUUAUAAAUUUGGUGAAUUUUUAAGUCAAGGUUAAACACAAAUAAAUAAAUAAAUGUGGGUAUUGUUAGUACCGAAAUCUUAUAGUGAAUAUAUUUACUUGAAUAGGUUGCAUCGAUUCGAAAGUUCAACGAAAAGGGAAGGCUCAAGUCCCAGACUGAUUAUUCGAUUGACUAAGGCAAGUGGAUUUCUAAACUCUUGUUAAGCGUACGAAAUUCGUGUAUUUCCUUGUGUGAUGUUGAGAAUGAUUUGGAGACUUGUUGUUUAAUUGUUGGUGUUGUAUUUCUUGUUGUAAAUUGUGCUUUGUUAUCAAAUGGUUAUCCUCUCCUUUUCAUUUGAGCAUGUCAUUUGCAUUGUAUAUGAGACAUGGUUGUGGUAAGAGGAUGAUGUACUAUUUUUGAGGGUCGUAUCGCGCGCCGCGAUGGAUAUUAUAUUUCGAGGGACGUAUCGCGCGCCGCGAAGGUUACUAUUUUAUCGAGGGUCGUUUCGUGCGCCGCGACAGAUGCAUGGACAGAUAUGUCCCCCAUGGGUCCCGGACUGAGAGACAGCGGGUGUGUAUCGUUAAGAAAGACAUGCAUCACGAUAUUUGACACUGCAUCUCAUGGCAUUGCACAUUUUUAUUAUUGAUGAACUUGAACAUGUGUUUUUGCUGAUCUUGUGAUUGUUUCUCUGUGAAGCUUGUGAUUGUUGAAUAUUGAGUUGUUAUUGAGAAUGUGUAAACUGAUAGAGCGUGGUUAUUGAUUGGUGUGUUUGGUAAACUGUUAGGCUGUAGCGUGGAUGUUUAGAUAGGGCGUAAGGAGUACCCGUAUUUUGUUCACUUAACUUGUGUUUAGAGGUUUGCUUGUUGGGUACCGCAUGGUUUGGUACUCACCCCUUGCUUCUACAAAUUUUUGUAGGUUACGAGCCCGGAUUUUUGUGAUAUCUUCCAUUCUCUUCGUUUCCGAGGCAUCUUGUGGAGGAUUGUGAGGUAGCUGCUUGUCAUCUCAACGAACUUCCCUACUCAAGUUUAUGACUUUGUUUUUACUUGAAAGACAACUUCAUGUUAGACUUCUAUUUUAUUUCAAUUCUAAUAUUUACAUUAGAGGCUUGUGCACGUGACAACCUGAUUUUGGGGAUUGGAUUAAUAUGACUUGGUUUCAUAAUAGGAAUUGUUGUUGGAUUGUCAUUUACUUCCGCACUUUGUUAGAUAUUGGGGUUUAGGCUGACUUGUCUUGGUGGGGUAAGGCGAGUGCUAUCACACCUAUUUUCUUGGUCGUGACAAAAUGGUAUCAGAGCCCCAGGUUCAUAGGUCUCACGUGUAUAAAAGCCGAGUCUAUGUAGAGUCUCAAGGAUCAGUACGGAGACGUCUGUACUCAUCUCUGAGAGGCUAUAAAGAUUACUAGGAAACUUCCUUUUGUUCAUUCUUUCUCAUCGUGCGUAGUUACCUUCGUUAGUACUGAGUUGUUGUAUACUCUUUUGACAGAUGACGAGGACUAGAGUUAAUGUGACUGGUGGUAGAGGGGAGGCACUUCCCGAGGCAGUUGUUGAGGCCCCAGCUAGGGGUAGGGGUAGAUCUCGAGCUAGAGGUCGUGCUAGUAGUACGACAGUAGCCAGAGGUCGUGGACGUGGAGCAGCACCAGUGAGAGGUCUUGCUAGAGAGGUCUCUACCGAACCUCAGAUUGAUGACAGAGAGGACCAGGUUCCUCCAGAUCCCGUAGUCACACCUUUGCUUCAGGAUAUGCUAUUGAGGGUGUUAAGUGUGUUAGAGGGCUUUUCUCAGGGUGGUGGUGCAACUACCACACCACAUGACUCCUGUACUAGAAAGGGGGCUCAGACCCAAGAGCAGCAACAAGCUCCAGCUGUUCGAGAUGCGGUGGGGCAACUACCAGUAGAUCUCGCGGUUCAUAAUGAUGUUGCACCAGCAAUUGGGGGUCAAGUUGCAUCGAUGGUUGUUCUGACAGAGGAUGAGCAGCGUAGGUAUGAGAGAUUUCGAAAGAUGGACCCACCUCAGUUUCAGGGUGGGAAGAGCGAGGACGCUCAUGAGUUUCUAACUACAUGCCGAGAGUUACUAUAGGUGGUUGGAUUAGCUGAGUCACAUGGGGUUCGAUAUGCUACACUCCAGCUUCGUGGACCAGCGAGAGACUGUUGGAGGACUUAUUCGGGAUGUUUGCCAGUUGGAUCUCCUCCAGUGACUUGGGAGCAGUUUGCGGUUGCAUUCCAAGAUCGUUUUAUCCCAUGGAGCGUGAGAGAGGAGAGUCGCUUGAGGUUUGAGAGUCUGAGCCAGGAUGGUUUAUCGGUUACAGAGUAUGAGGCGCGUUUUUGCCAGUUGUCUAGGCAUGCGUUUGCCAUUAUUCCAAAUGUGAAAGAGAGGAUCCGCAGAUUUGUGAGGGGAUUGACUUUCUCUAUCAGGUCAGCUGUGUUUAGGACAUCUAGGGAGGGGACUUCUUUCCAUUCUAUUGUGAGCGCCGCCAAAGAGGCGGAAUUAAUGGAGAGAGAGGAGUUUGGGGACCCUAAAAGAGCUCGUAUAUCAGGUUAGUUUCAUGGUGCCUCAUCUGGAGGUAGGGGAUCACAGAGAGUGAGUGGUUCUUUUCAACAGCGGGGACCUAUUCAUGCAUCUAUGCCGACAUCUGAGGGUGGCCAGACAUCUAGGAGUUCUUAUAGCCCGGGUCAGAGCUCGUACGGUUCACAGCAGCGACCUACAGGGCGCGGAAAUUUUAGUGGGUUUUCAGGGUCCACACAACAGUUCCCAUGUCAGAGAUUUUGUUUUACUUGUGGAGAUCAUAAUCAUCUAAUGCGGCAGUGUACUACACAAAGGGGUCGUGGUGGGCCUCGACCUAAUUCUUCAUUCCAAACUAGACCACCAGCACCACAGGGUAGAGGUCGUGCAGAGUUCAGUCAGGUAGAGGUGAUAGAGUUUCUAGUAGUGUGUUGCAGCUCAGCAGAGUGGGGGUAGAGGUAUCACCCAGGAUGGAGGUGGACGAAGAGGCCACUGCUAUGCUUUCCCUGGGAGACCCGAGGCGGAGACCUCCGAUGCUGUUAUUACAGGUAUCAUCCCAGUAUGCCAUCGACCCGCGUCUGUGUUAUUUGAUCUAGGUUCUACAUUCUCUUAUGUGUCUACGUAUUUUGCUGCUAAAUUUGAUAUGAUAUGUGAUAGCAUGACUGUACCUAUUCGUGUUUCUACACCCGUGGGUAAGCCCUUAGUGGUGGAUCGAGUAUAUCGAUCCUGUCUUAUUUCAUUGGCUGGGUAUGACACUUGGGUAGACUUAAUCAUUCUGGGGAAGGUAGACUUUGAUGUUAUCUUGGGUAUGGAUUGGCUUUCUCCUUAUCAUGUUGUCCUUGAUUGUAAUGCCAAGACUUUGACUUUAGCAAUGCCUGGUAUUCCGAAGGUUGAGUGGAAGAGUGCUAGUGGUUCUUAUCCUAACAAGGUCAUCUCUUUUAUCCGUGCUCAGAAAUUGGUGGAGAGGGGGUGUUUGUCUUACUUAGCGUUUAUUCGGGAUACUAGUGUUGAACCACUUUCCAUGGACUCUGUUCCCGUGGUUCAGGAGUUUCUCGAUGAAUUUCCUUUUGAUCUUCCAGGUGUUCCUCCCUAUAGGGAUAUCGAUUUUGCUAUUGAUUUGGAGUCGGGCACUAAGCCUAUUUCUAUACCUCCAUAUCGUAUGGCCCCAGCAGAGUUGAAAGAAUUGAAGGAUCAGUUGCAAGAUUUAUUGAGUAAGGGUUUUAUUCGCCCUAGUGUAUCUCCUUGGGGUGCCCCUGUAUUGUUUGUGAAGAAGAAGGAUGGGACUAUGAGAAUGUGUAUUGAUUACAGACAGUUGAACAAGGUAACAGUUAAGAAUAAGUAUCCUCUUCCGCGUAUUGAUGACUUAUUUGAUCAGUUACAGGGAGCAUCAUUGUUCUCUAAGAUUUAUUUGAGGUUUGGGUAUCAUCAGUUGAAGAUUAGGGCAUCAGAUAUCCCUAAGACAGCUUUUCGGACCCGGUAUGGGCAUUAUGAGUUUCUAGUGAUGUCCUUCGGAUUGACUAAUGCCCCUACAGCAUUCAUGGAGUUGAUGAAUGGGGUGUUUCGACCAUACCUUGAUUCUUUUGUGAUUGUUUUCAUCGAUGACAUCUUGGUUUACUCUAAGACUGAGGAGGACCAUGUCCGACACCUGAGAAUUGUACUUCACAGGUUGAGAGAAGAGAAGUUGUAUGCCAAGUUCUCAAAGUGUGAGUUCUGGCUUACUUCUGUGACAUUCUUGGGACACGUGGUGUCCAAGGAGGGUAUUAGAGUAGAUCCGGCAAAGAUUGAGGCAGUUAGAGGCUGGAUGCGACCUACUUCACCUACUGAGAUUAGGAGUUUUGUGGGAUUGGCAGGCUAUUAUCGAGUGAUUUGUUCAGAGUUUCUCUACUAUUGCAGCUCCAUUGACUAGAUUGACUCGACAAGAUGUGAGUUUUCAGUGGUCUGAUGAGUGUGAGGAGAGCUUUCAAAAGCUCAAGACUUUGUUGACUUCUGCUCCUGUGUUGACUCUACCUAAGGAAGGUGUAGACUUUACUGUGUAUUGUGAUGCUUCAGGAGUUCGUUUGGGUGGUGUGUUGAUGCAGAAGGGGAAAGUGAUUGCUUAUGCUUCUAGGAAAUUGAAAUCCAUGAGAAAAACUACCCUACUCAUGAUUUGGAGUUGGCGGCUGUGGUAUUUGUACUUAAGUUAUGGCGUCAUUAUUUGUAUGGGGUGCAUUGUGAGAUCUUCACUGAUCAUCGAAGUCUUCAAUAUAACUUUAGCCAGAGGGAUUUGAACUUGAGGCAACGGAGAUGGCUUGAGUUGCUGAAGGACUAUGAUGUGACCAUUAUGUAUCAUCUAGGAAAGGCCAAUGUUGUGGCCGAUGCUCUGAGUAGGAAGACUCCUAGCAUGGGGAGUCUUGCAGCGCUUAGUAUUAUGGAGAGACCAUUGGCUAGAGAUGUGCAGAUAUUAGCUAACAGUCUUUUCCUCUUGCAGAUUUCAGAAAAAAGUGAUGGGAUGAUUGCUUUUAUUGAGGCUCGGUCUUCUUUAGUCGAGAAAAUUCGUGCACACCAAUUUGAUGAUGAAAAAUUAUGUCUCAUUCGAGACAAAGUAUUGAGAGGGGAAGCUAAGGAGGCUGUCAUUGAUUCUGAUGGUGUCUUGCGGAUCGGAGGCAAAAUUUGUGUGCCCAGGACAGGCCAUUUGAUUAGAUUGAUUCUUGAGGAGGCCCAUUGUACUCGGUAUUCCAUCCAUCCGGGAGCGGCGAAGAUGUAUCAUGAUCUGAGUCAGCAUUACUGGUGGUGUGGGAUGAAGAGAGAUAUUUCAGACUUUGUUUCUAGGUGUUUGACUUGCCAGCAGGUCAAAUGUGAGCACCAGCGGCCCGGGGGUGUAUCUCAGAGGAUGCCUAUUCCUACUUGGAAGUGGGAGCGGAUUACUAUGAACUUUGUUGUGGGUUUGCCUACCACAGUGGGUGGUUAUGACUCUAUUUGGGUUGUUGUUGAUAGGCUGACCAAGUCUGCCCACUUCAUCCUGGUUUAGGUAAAGUAUACAGCAGAAAAGUUAGCCGAACUAUAUAUCAGUCAGAUUGUGCGACUACAUGGAGUUCCUCUUUCUAUCAUAUCAGAUAGAGGUUCACUAUUUACUUCUCACUUCUGGAAGGCAUUACAACAUGGUCGGGGUACUCAGUUAGAUAUGAGUACGGCAUUUCACCCUCAGACAGAUGGUCAAUCUGAGCGGACCAUCCAGGUAUUGGAAGAUAUGCUUCGAGCGUGUGUGAUCGAUUUUGGUGCAAGAUGGGAUCGACAUUUACCCUUAGCGGAGUUUACCUAUAAUAACAGUUAUCACUCUAGUAUCCAAAUGGCCCCAUUUGAGGCAUAGUAUGGUAGACGGUGUAGAUCUCCUAUUGGUUGGUUUGAUUCCGCGGAGAUGGACUCUUUGGAUAUUGACUUGCUUAGAGAUGCUAUGAAGCAAGUUCGUAUGAUUCAGUAUAGAUUAUUGACAGCACAGAGUCGACAAAAGAGUUAUGCAGACCGGAGAGUUAGAGCCUUGGUGUUUAUGGAGGGUGAUCAUGUUUGGCUUCGAGUAUCACCCAUGAAGGGUGUGAUGAGGUUUGGAAAGAAGGGCAAGCUUAGCCCUAGGUUCAUUGGACCUUUUGAGAUUUUGAGCCGAGUGGGAGAGGUGGCCUAUAAGCUGGCCUUGCCACCUAGUUUGUCGGCAGUUCAUCCUGUUUUCCAUGUCUCUAUGCUUCGGAAGUAUAUUCCGGAUGAAUCUCAUGUGAUUUCACUCGAUUCUGUGGAGCUGGGUCCAGACUUGACAUUUGAGGAGGAGCCUAUAGCUAUUAUGGAUAUGCAAAUUCGAAAGCUUAAGACCAAAGAGAUUGCUUCAGUGAAGGUGCAAUGGAAGCACUGAUCAGUGGGAGAGGCAACUUGGGAGACAGAGUCUGACAUGCGUGCCAGAUAUCCUCAACUUUUUGAAGCAUCUGGUACUUUCUUUUACUUUAUGUUCGAGGACGAACAUGAUUUUUAGUGGUGGAUAAUGUAAUGACCCGGAAGGUCAUUUUUGGAAAUUUUAAAUAUUAGUGUAACUUAAGUUAAUUUAUUUAUGAUUGAUUGUAAAUAAUGGAAUUAAUAGAUAGUUUUGGACUAAAGUGAUGUUUUAUUUAAGAUCCUAUACUAUUAGGGUCAUGUAUUAAAAAAAUAAGUUAGUGUAUUUUGUCAGUUUUUAAUAAACUAUUAAUUAAUAAAAUAAGGGGAGGCAGAAACCUACCUAAGCCGACGCACACGAGAGGUUUUCUUUGAUCUUCAGGUAACAAUCCAUGGUACUUUGACAUAAUUAUUUUUAAUUUGUCAAUUAUGUGUGAUAAAUGGGAUAUGAUAUGAAUUCAAGAUCUGGGUUUAUUGAGAAAUUAAGGCACCUUUUUAGUGCAAUUUGUGCCAGCCGUAAAGGUGAUAGUUGAAGGCCAUCUGAAGGCUAUUAUUAGUAGCAUUAGAGAAACAAUGAAAUUGUAUAAAACAAUAAAUUAAGUGCUAAAAUUAUUGAGUGAAAAAAAUUAGUAGUUAUAAUUUUUCGUGGCUAACUGGUACGUUAAUGUUUUUGGGAAACUAAGAGAAAGAAUGGGGAAUAUUUGAAUUGGCCAUAAUGAGCCAAUGAUUGGUCAUAAUGAGCCAAUCAUUGGCCAUAAUGAGCCAUUCAUUGGCUAGAAAAAAAAUAAAAAAAAAUAAAAAUUGUUAAACAAAAGAACAAAAAUAAGUAAUAAUAAUAAGGGUUCAUUAGCACUAUUCCAAUUAAACUAGUAGUGCAAAGUUUCAUUUUACUGUGAAUCUAAUUUUGAUAGGUAGGCAUGGGUAAUUAAAUAUUAUAUGUAUGGUGUUGACUGAAUGUUAUUCGAAUUAUGAUAGUGGAAAAGAAAUAAUAGAAAUUUAAUCCUAGGCUUGAAACUUGAAAAAAAAAUUAUGAUAGAGCAAAUUUUAAUUGACAUCAAGAAUUACAAAAUUGAUUAUAAAUUUGGUGAAUUUUUAAGUCAAGGUUAAACACAAAUAAAUAAAUAAAUGUGGAUAUUGUUUGUACCGAAAUCUUAUAGUGAAUAUAUAUACUUGAAUAGGUUGCAUCGAUUCGGAAGUUCAACGAAAAGGGAAGGCUCAAGUCCCAGACUUAUUAUUCGAUUGACUAAGGCCAAUGGAUUUCUAAACUCUUGCUAAGCGUACGAAAUUCGUGUAUUUCCUUGUGUAAUGUUGAGAAUGAUUUGGAGACUUGUUGUUUAAUUGUUGGUGUUGUAUUUCUUGUUGUAAAUUGUGCUUUGUUAUCAAAUGGUUAUUCUCUCCUUUUCAUUUGAGCAUGUCAUUUGCAUUGUAUCUGAGACAUGGUUGUGGUAAGAGGAUGAUGUACUAUUUUCGAGAGUCGUAUCGCGCGCCGCGAUGGAUAUUAUAUUUCGAGGGACGUAUCGCGCGCCGCGAAGGUUACUAUUUUAUCGAGGGUCGUGUCGUGCACCGCGACAGAUGCAUGGAUACAUAUGUCCCCCAUGGGUCCCAGACUGAGAGACAGCGGGUGUGUAUCGUUAAGAAAGACAUGCAUCACGAUAUUUGACAUUGCAUCUCAUGGCAUUGCACAUUUUUAUUAUUGAUGAACUUGAACAUGUGUUUUUGCUGAUCUUGUGAUUGUUUCUCUGUGAAGCUUGUGACUGUUGAAUAUUGAGUUGUUAUUGAGAAUGUGUAAACUGAUAGAGCGUGGUUAUUGAUUGGUGUUCUUGGUAAACUGUUAGGCUGUAGCGUGGAGGUUUAGAUAGGGCGUAAGGAGUACCCGU